ensembl:lncRNA
UGGCCUACGACAUGCGCCAGCCAGCUAGUCCAUGUUAUUGAAGCAAGAUACAUCAAAUAAUCUAUCUUCUCUGAGGUUUAUUGGCAGACCACAGUCAUCAGGUGUAUUGCCACCACCUGCUGGUUAGUAAAAAAUACCCCAAAAACAAAAUAUGUUCUUGAUAAACAAAAUCAUACUAAUCCCCCCUCCAAAAGAAUAUAUAGAAAUACAUAAACAAAACAAAAUCAAAUCAAAUUUUAUUUGUCACAUGCACAAAAUACAACUAGCGUAGACCUUACAGUGAAAUGCUUACUGAGAAGUAACUAACCAACAAUGCAGUUUUAAAAAAAACUGAUAAGAAUAAGAAAUAACAAGUAAUUAAGAAUAAGAAUAAGAAAUAUUAAGAAUAAGAAAUAACAAGUAAUUAAAGAGCAGCAGUAAAAUAAUAGCGAGACUAUAUGCAGGGGGGUACCGGUACAGGGUCAAUGUGGAGACUAUAUACAGGGGGUACCGGUACAGGGUCAAUGUGGAGACUAUAUACAGGGGGUACCGGUACAGGGUCAAUGUGGAGACUAUAUACAGGGGGUACCGGUACAGAGUCAAUGUGGAGACUAUAUACAGGGGGUACCUGUACAGAGUCAAUGUGGAGACUAUAUACAGGGGGUACCGGUACAGAGUCAAUGUGGAGACUAUAUACAGGGGGUACCGGUACAGAGUCAAUGUGGAGACUAUAUACAGGGGGUACCGGUACAGAGUCAAUGUGGAGGCUAUGUACAGGGGGUACCGGUACAGGGUCAAUGUGCGGGGGCACCGGUUAGUCGAGGUAAUUGAGGUAAUAUAUACAUGUAGGCAGAGUUAUUAAAGUGACUAUGCAUAGAUGAUAAUAACAGAGAGUAGCAGCAGUGUAGAAGAGGGGGGGGGAUGCAAAUUGUCUGGGUAGCCAUUUGAUUAGAUGUUCAGGAGUCUUAUGGCUUGGGGUUAGAAGCUGUUUAGAAGCCUCUUGAACCUAGACUUUGGGCUCCAGUACUGCUUGAUAUUAACCAAAUUCACGGUACUACCCUGAAUUUAAUUAUUUUAAAAAACUGUUCUCCUUCAGUUGGAUUUAAAUGUCUAUUCAGAUCCCCACAUAGGCUCAGGAACCUGGGAGGGGGAACCUCUUCAUUCAGUACUCCCUGUAACAUUUUGGCUGUAAAGCCUUGGAGAUCCAGAAAUCUAUUUGCGCCUUCACAGUGAUGUCUAGCUUCUUAUAUUUUUUAUUUGUUUGUCUAGUGCAAUUUAUCACUUGCGCUAUAAAAGCGACAAAGUCCACCUUCUUCAAUAUUGGUGUGUCGGGAUCCUUCUCCUAUGUGGUUUUCACAGCAGACUGUGGGACAUCCACUACCAUCUCCUCUCUGCUCACUCCUAUGUCAACUGCCUCCAUAUAGGAGACCUGCUGGAUAGCCCUGGUCCUAGCUACUGCGACCCCCUUCAUCCUUACAGGGCAUUCUGGGAACUCGGGAACAUGAUUCCCAUCACAGUUACAACAACAUGCUUCAUCUGACUCUUCAACUACGACAUAGUUAUUCCUUCGACAUUCACUUGACCAAACUUUUUACAAUUGUAACACUGCAGCGACUUCUGUACAUACAGUCUCACCUCAUAUCUCACAUACCCAAGUUUUAUGUCAAUUGUGAAAACACACUUCAUCAAACGACAGUAAAACGGAUAGGCUUUGCUCCUGCUUUCCGUCUAUCAUUCGAUUCAAGCCAAUCAUUUUCCAGUCUUGCGACAGCAGUGCGAACCGCGACACAUUGAAGCGUAUGAUUGGUCUAGUAAUGUAAGGGAUCAAGGGGAUUGGAUGCGUGUUUUAAAGAAACGCCCCUCUAGAUUAGAGUGGAGCUGAACUGCGAGAGGAAGCAUUCUUCUUUGUGUGUGUGUGUGUGUGUGUGUGUGUGUGUGUGUGUGUGUGUGUGUGUGAUCAUCUGAGUGUGUGUGUUCAUCUGUGUAAAAAAACAACAGCAUCAUGGUAGUGCUGUUAUAUAUACAAUGUAACUUGUCAACAAAAUGAGGUUGCUGUUUCUCCCGUCCCUAUGCAGAAUGCAGCCUUUUGACAGCAUGUACUAAAAUCAAUUCAAUCUACACCUGCAUUAGUCCCCUCGUUUUGGUGUUUGGCAUUUCGGCUGUGACAACGAAAAGGCAGCAGACAGACCUACAGUAUGUUUUAGCAGGGAAGUUUGGUAGGGUGGUAUCUAUGAAAAACAAUGUGUCAAACAGAUUGGGAACCAAAAAGUGUAAGUUUGAUUCUAGAGGACGGACAAUGAAUAUAAAAUAAUUUGGUUAGGGUGUAGGGGCAGAUUUACAUUCUCUCGUCUUCAGGAGAUUUUAUUAUCUAUUUACUUUACUUAGUCUGAUCAGUGGAACAAUUCUCAUUAUUAACAAUGGGCUAAAAUAUAGGGUUAUUACCUUGCUUCUCAGCAAAAACACUACUGUUAUUCUCCACACUGAUUUUAAGUUCUUCCCAGUUCUGCCAGUGUUAUUGUAUAUUUUAAAUCUGAUAUGCCUAAUUGUGACUUUGAAAAUGAAUGAUGUGAGGCUGUGUAUGUUUGCAGCCGUUCAUUGACAGUUUUGAAUAAGUCAUACAAAUAAGUGCUGGAUAUUAAAUCAGGAGGUGAAAAUAGUGCCCCCUACCCUAAUGAAGUUAACCUCCUGAAGUGUGAAUGGGCGAAACAGGAGGCAAAAAGUACCUGGGUUACCAGCUGGGUAAAGGUGAAGUUCGGCCUCAGAUGGACAGAGUGGAGUCCAUCAUGAACAGCCCUCAACCCAGAACCAAGACACAGGUGAAGUCCUUCCUAGGUCUGGUAGGUUGGUACCGGAGAUUCAUUCUGCAGUUCUCGACCAUCGCUGUCCCUCUAACCAACCUCACUUCAAAGGUGGCCAGCAACCCUGUGAAGUGGACUGAGGAGUGUGAGGAAGCAUUCAUGAUGCUGAAAAAACGACUGUGCUCAUUCCCUGUUCUGCAGACCCCGGAUUUGCUGAAGAGAUUUCUCGUGCAGGUGGACACUUCGGCUGUGGGAAUUGGAGCUGUACUGGCCCAAGGGGAGCCAGGGGAAGAGCUUCCCGUGCUGUACCUGAGUCGAAAGCUGUUGCCCAGGGAAACCAGGUAUUCAACAAUCGAGAAGGAGUGCCUGGCUAUAAAGUGGGCCCUAGAUAGCCUCCGUUACUAACUUCUUGGGAGGGAAUUUGACCUGCACACGGACCACAGAGCCCUGACCUGGAUCCAGACCAUGAAGGACCGGAAUUCUCGUGUGACCAGGUGGUAUCUGGAGCUCCAACCUUUCAGGUUCUGUGUCCGUCACAAGGCAGGAAAAAAGGAACGUCACGGCGGACUACCUAUCCUAUCCCGGCUCCCGAACCUGGUCGCUUCAGGAGAGGAGGAAGGUAAUGUGAUCCAGCUUGGAAAACACAGUGGCACUCUGGAGCGGCGCGAAGGUCGAGGAGAUGAGUGGUAGCGUGGUAACGGUUCUUAACUGUAACGUCAUUGGUCAAUGCACGCGCACAAGGUCUUAUCCCUUUCCUCCAAGAAGAAGAACCGUGUGCUGGCGGGAGAGGAAUAGGGACGGAUAAAUCCAGCAGCUAAGGUGAUAUGUAGGUAUCCAUAGCCUUGGUUUCCGGUCCCGACAGAGAGUACAGACGUCCCCGGGGCAGUGUGAUGCUAGAGAGAAGGUCAAUCCCGCAGUCAUAGGGUCGGUGCGGCGGAAGCGACAUGGCCCGGACCUUGCUGAACACCUCCCGGAGGUCCUGGUACUCCAUGGAAAUGGUGGAGAGAUCCGAGGCACCUUCCGAGCCCCCGUGAAGACGUCCUGGGGCAGGUUGUCAUGACUUCAGGAAAUGGGCGUGGCAGAACGGACUCCAGCUCAUGAUGGCACCAGUAGACCAGUUGAUGAAUGGAUUGUGUCGUUGGAGCCAGAAGAAUCCCAGGGGGGACUUGAUGAGCAGGAACUGGAUAGCCUCGCUGUGGUUCCCUGACACCCGUAGCUGGAUGGGAGUGGUGUUGUGUGUGACUCGGCCUGUAGAGCGCCUGUCUAGCUCUCUAACUUUGGCAGCCUAGCUAACUUCUAAGACCUCUAAGACCUCUAUGGAUAAAUACUAUCUCCUCUAAGGAUAAAUACUAUCUCCUCUAUGGAUAACUACUAUCUCCUCUAUGGAUAACUACUAUCUCCUCUAUGGAUAACUACUAUCUCCUCUAUGGAUAACUACCAUCUCCUCUAUGGAUAACUACCAUCUCCUCUAUGGAGAACUACUAUCUCCUCUAUGGAUAACUACUAUCUCCUAUAUGGAUAAAUACUAUCUCCUAUAUGGAUAAAUACUAUCUCCUCUAUGGAUAAAUACUAGUGGUCAGAUUAAGUGCUUGACAACCUUUGUCACUCUUUUCUCUCUGUGUCUCUAUUUAUCGUCAGACUAACACAGAUGCUACCGAUGCCACUGCCAGUAAAAUCAAAACAGACAUCAUAUCACUUAAAACAUCACGUUCCACACGUGUGUGUGUGUGUGUGUGUGUGUGUGUGUGUGUG